GGGCCCUGCUCAGACACCACAUGCGCAGGGCCGACUGCAUUCCCACGGCGACGGCCUCCUGGCCCGCAUCAUGACUGUUGUUUUCCUCGCGGUGGCCAUAGCUUUUGGAUUUUACAUUCAGAUUGGUUCAAGGGGCUUUUUCCUUUCUCUGUUUGAAGGAAGCCACCCUCUCGAUCCCCAGUCAGCGUGGCGUCCUCUCAGCAACCCGCUCCUGGUCUUGCUUUGACUCCUGUGCUCCCGGGCUGCCGAGAACACGUCUGGAGCUUUUAAAUCAGGGUGAGUCCCAGCCGCCGAGGAAGCACUGAACAAAAAGGCCACCGCUGGGGAGCUGCAGGGGCACAGACGGAGCCUGGGAGCGGGGCUGACCAUGGGGAAGAAGGGGAGGUGGGAAAGAAGGCCCGGCCACCUCCACUGCUACAGCCACAGCGACAACAGUAGACAGUGACAGGCCCUGCCUGCCACGCACUGCAGAGUCUGUGGCUCUCCCCUGUUAAGUAAGAGCAGUCGGCGCUGACGUUCAGUGAGGUCAUGAGGAUACUCACAGAACUUUCUGGAAUAAGGGUCAGGCUGCGAAGCAUUCCCCAGACAUUGUAACAUCCAGCCAGUCACUCGUGGCAUUUAGCUUUUAGGUUCAUCUCUGUGAAUAAUCAUCACAAAUAUUUACUGAGCAUCCUUCAUCUCCUGGAAGCCUCGUGGAUUAUCUUGCUGAAUCCUCACCACAGCAGCCCGCUGAGGGAGGUGCUAUCAUCGUCCCUGUUUUUCAAGGGAGAGAAUCAAGGUUUGGGCAGGGACAAGGUCUUGCUAUGUUGCCCAAGCUGAUCUUGAACUCCUGGCCUCAAGCAAUCCCAAUAGUUCGGUCUCCCAAAUUGCUGAGAUUGUGGGUACAAGCCACUGCACCUGGACUUCUUCUGACAUUAUAAAGCAAAGAGCAUUUUCAAAAGCUGAUGCUACUUGUGCAUAUUCCAUAUUUGCUGAGCGCUUACUGUGUCCCCAUUAAGUGCCAGGCACAGUUUUCAGCACUGCUUUAAAGUGUCUACAAGCUUAGAAAGGGCAUAGGCAUCUCUUGAAAUCCAGUGUUCUAGGGAAAGUUUUUCCUGUGGUUUUGCACAGAACCCACCGCUUCCUGUCCAAGGUGACAGCUUUAGCUGGGAGAGAAAUUAAAAAUGCCUCCUUGGAAUAGCUAUCUGAUGUGUCUAAAUAUGAUUGCUGAUGUUAGCAAUAGGACCUGCCUAUUAGCAAUGGUUUGGGCAACUGUAUGUGUGAGGCAGGGAGAGAAAGAGGAAGAAAAUACAGCUCUCACUAUUGUUUCCAAAUGGCAAGACUGGUUUUCCUGCUACCUACUAACCAGUGUAGUUAUUAGUGUUACAUAUCACCUCUGCAUCUUAUUUAUGUAAUAUUCCAAGAAGCUAAAAAAAAAAACCUCUUUUUUUUUUUUUUUUUACAAAUCUUAGAUUUUAUGAACACUUGCUAAUAGCCCCCCCCUCCUAGAUCGUCAUUGCUGUGUAACAAAUUGUCAUACAUUUAGCAGUUUAAAAUACCACACAUUUACUCACAGCUUCCAUGGGCCACGAGUGUGGGGACGAGUGACUGGGUCGUCUGCUCAGGGUCUCUUACAAGACUCCAUCAGCGUUUCAGCUGGGGCUGGGGUCUCAUCUGAGGCUCAGGGUCCUCACUCCAGGUCACAGGGCAGAAUUCAUUUCUUUCAAGCUACGGAUCUCAUGGCAGCUUGCUUUUUCAAGGCCAGCAAGGGAGAGAGUGAAUCUGCUGCUUUUAGUGUCUGACCUCUCGAUCUUCUUUUAAAUGGCUCAUCUGAUUAGGGCAGACCCACCCAGGAUAAUCUCUCUUUUGACUAACUUACAGUCAACUCAUUAGAGAUCCUAAUUACAUCUGCAAAAAUCCCCUCACCUUUGCCUGAUAAUGUGACAUCAUCACGGGGGCAAUAUCCCAUCACUUUUGCCAUAUACUAUUGGCUAGAAGCAAAUUAAGGUCCUGCUACCACUCAAGGGGAGGGGAUUACACAAGGGCAUGGGACAUCAGGGGUCAUCUUAGAAUUCUGGCAACCAGAAUAAGCUACUUGUGGAUAGACAUGUUGUCAUACAUAUUUUUUGUUCAGUCAUUAUGCUUAGCAGAGAAAUAGGCACACAGCAGAAAAAUAACUGAUUGGUACGGAGAAUUUAGUGAUUGGAAACGAAUUAAUAUUGUUAAGACACAAAGUUUCUUGCAGAGCACACUCUGAAAAAGGUCACUUUUUACCCCUCAAUAUGUCUUAAUGGGUUGAGGUAGAGAGAAGCGUGGGUAGGUAUCAAUCACGAGAGCACACAGGCUAAAAGAAAGAAAAAAUGAGCUGGGACAUCUAAGUUCAACUUCCACUUCCUCCUAUACAAGCUGGGUGACCUUUUCCUAUCUAGAAAGUGGGAGAAGUAGUUCCUGUCCUCCCUUACAGGGCUGCUGAGCAGGCAGAAUGAGAUGAUGGGCUGAGAGGGCUUGGAGAGGACAAACUGUGGGUACAAAAGUCUUAUUGUCCUGGCCCGGAUUGCUAAGGAGAUGGUGGUUAAUAAUAUGCUGCUAUCUCAUGAGGUAAAUGCGUGAUCACAUAGCCAAGAGAUGCCUUUUUGUUCUAAUGAUCACUGUAAGACCUUCUUGAGAGACAGUCCAAGUCUCUCCAGCACAAUGGAAAAUUGCAUUUUCUAUGCACACAUUCGAGGGGAAAGAGACCCCUCCAACGUUCUUCUCAGUUUUACCCCAAAGUUGAGUUCUGGGUCAAAAAUCUCUCAAGCGUCCUCCACAGCUGACUUCCACAGUCCCCUGUGUGUCUCUGCAAGGAACACAAAGGAAGUGAGAUAGUGGGAAGUCUGGGGCCAUCUUCGGUCACGUGAGAAUUCCCUCUCAGUUAGCCGGGGCGUGCAGCCGCACAGAAGGAAGGCAGCCACGCAGCUCCAGUCCAGGCUGGGAGAGAGCUUUGUAGAUCCAUCUCCCACUGAGCAGGCUUCCCUCCUGCAAGGAGAGACUCUACCGAUAAUGUGUUAAGAUCAGAUUAAUGCAGGAAAUACACAUGAAAUAAAUAAUAACAGUGUAAUAACAGUGGCUGUCAUUGCAAUGGUUAUUUCUGUUAAAAAUGUGAGAUCUACACUACGGAUUUCUUAGGAUAAUUUUGCCCUUACUUAAAAGAAACUGACAGAUGUACUUUAUAAAAAUGAAAAUAAUUUAACAAAUAAAGAAUUGGAG
ensembl:lncRNA LINC01354 long intergenic non-protein coding RNA 1354